AUCUCUUCCACAUACUGAUUGAAUUUCCUACGAGUAUUCAACCGGUAGUGGGGUUGUUAGAUUCUAUGCUUGAGAUUACAUACAUACAUCUACACACAUGUAUGUUUCCCUCCAUAUGCUUGCACUAAUGUACACUCCAAAGCCACCAGCUAAGAGUCGUCCUUCCUCUAUAUACUCACUAAAGCUUUUCUCUUCCCUUUUUGACAGCAGGCAUUCUAACUGGGAUGAAGCACUAUAUCACUUUGCCAAGUGUCCGAGCCGGCCGGCCAUCUGUAUGUUCUCUAACAUGGACAUCUGUUCCUGAUAUGUAUACGCAGGGCCAGUUUGAUGCCCCACUCUCCAAACCGAAAGCCCUGUUCUUUCUUUCUCUUGACUGAUAGCCACUGCCAGGGUUUCUACCACUGCGGCCAACAGAAAAGUGUUCUAUGCCAAUAAAUAGUCUCCCACGCAUGGAAACAGAGAGCCCUGGCUUCUGCCUGCCCUCAGAGUGAGCAGCCGUCACACCUGUCCAGCCUUGUGUUUUCUGAGGGCUGUAGCAGUAUGCUAUGGCCCCAGGUCUCGGUUUCAUUGCGGUGAAUGGAAUGGAGAAGACAUCUUGCCAGCCAGAACACAUUAAAGGUUCACCGCAGAUGCCCCCAAACCACUGCUGUGUUUCCCAUUAAGGACAGACUAGUUUAGACUCCCGAAUGUUUCCAGGAAUGUAGGAGGUUUUGAUCUGUUGUUCUUUCCACCCCAUUGUUUCAAAGCUCCAGUUAAAGAGGGCCACAUGUACUGCUCCCAAGGCAUGAAGGGAGCUAGAAAUUGAAUGAUUUGGGAUAGUCUGAUUCUCUUUAAAACAUUUUUUUUUUACAAGUAAGUGGUAUGUAGACACCAUUUUAAAUAUAUUCUUUCUGGUGAUCCAAGACUCCACACUUGAUUCUAAUUGGCAAGGGAUUUGUCAUUCUAUACCUCUUCUGUCUAUAGAUCUCUUCUUUGCUUUAUGAAAUAGUAUACCUCCCCAGACUCAUUUUAUUUUAUUUUUUAAGAAUUAUUUGUUUAUUUUAUGCAUAUGAGUAUACUAGCUGUCUUCAGACACACAAGAAGAGGGCUUUCAGAUCCCAUUACAGAUGGUUGUGAGUCACCAUGUGGUUGAUGGGAAUUGAACUCAGGACCUCUGGAAGAGCAGUCAGUGCUCUAAACCGCUGAGCCAUCUCUCCAGC
rnacentral:lncRNA from 1 species